GUUCGGCGUGCCCCGCAGUGCGCUUGCUCCGGGGGCGGGCGGGGUCUGGGGGAGCAGCGCAGCCUGAUGCCGCGGGUCGGCUGGGCCCGCGCUUCGCCUGUGCGUUGCCGAGGCUGGAUCCGGCGUGCGCGGUGUCCUCGCAGUCCCGGUCCUCCUUCCUCGUCCAGCUCCAGCUCGUUGCUUGUUCUCCGCCGCGCGGGCGCUGAGGACCCCCCCGGCCCCUCCUCUCCGCUGGUCUCGCGGCGGCACCGUUCAAACGAGCCUCUCCUGCCGGCGCCUGCCCCGCUCUCGUCUCUUCAACUCCGCAGCCUGCACCACGGGUCCAGCGCUGGCUAGAAACUCUAACUCAGGCAUGGCAGGUGAGCGAAGCAGGCAGUUACCCCAGGAGCAGGGCAGCUGGCAAAGACCUGAUGAGAAGGCCACCCUGUUGCAGUCUUCCUGUAAGAGUUCUUCAUACAAGCGAUCCUUGUGUAUGCAGUCAUCAUCCAUUCUCUACAUACAACCAAGUCAUCGAAGUUGAUGCUGACUGAGAAGGUUGAUACUGACUGGCCUACAGAAGUGAAAUGAACAUCUAAAGCCAGAGUUCUCAGAUGCAUCCAAUGUUUCCUGAAUUGGAGUAACAUCAGAAAAAUGGAUCUGCUUUAAAUCUAACUCUGUAGGUCUGCUUUGGGUGCACUGUUGAUCCCCAAAUUGCUUUCAGAAGGUUUGCUUUCAGGAGAAAUCUUGUAGUUUGUUCAUAGAAAGGACUAUUCAUGCUGCUAGUUCCCCUUUUUGAUAAUGGUUUUUAGUAUGGAAAGUUGGGAUUUUUUCCCAGGUUAUUGACAUUUAUAUGAAUAUCAACUUACUGAACAUCUAUCAAAUAAUGCUAACUAUAAAGGUUUGCAUGUGGAUAUUGGUUGCUCAUUAUUUGAAUAUGAAAAUGUAACUGCAAAGAUGAGUGGGGAACGAGGCAUGAGAACUCCUGGGUUUUGUUCUUGACUUCAAAUUCUGUGUCCCUGUCAGACCAGGCCUCUCUCCUCUCUUGUUCUGCUAUCUGGUACCAUGCAAACUAGUACAGCCUGUUCCAUGGUUGGGUUGCCAGUGACUAAAUCCCACCCCCACUUGGGCUAGCCUGGGUGAGGAGGAACAAGACCUUUCAAAGGGCAGAUGAGCUCCCUCUGAGCCAAUGGCUAUCCAUACCUGAGAGGAGAUAGGUGCCACCAGGUCACUCUGCCCAAAGAAUCACCAAUGAAGCAAAGCAAUUCAACUAACCUAGGGUUGUUAUAGCAUCUACAGUGCCCCAGUGGUCAUAGUGGCCUUGGGACUGACUUGACCUGAUCAAACUGUUUGAAAACGGAUUUUCAAAUGACCCUAAAUAGAGACAGGAGGUACCUAAAUCCCACUGAAAUUCGAUGGGAAUUCAGUACCCAACUCUUAGGAUCUCAACUUUGUUUGAAUGAUGGAGUGUUUUAAGGGAGUGUUUACAUGCUUCCCCCAGUCACCCUUUGGGGCUGGGCAUGUAAACAGUCCCUCUGCCGCCACCACCUCCAGUGCGGUGGCUCCCUCCCCCUGCCCACCUCCACCUCCUCCUACAGAGCAGCAAGGCUUCCCUCUGCCUGAGGGAGCGGAGGUGGAAGCCGCGGCUCCUCCCUCGCGUUCGCCUCCACCCAUGGAGCUGAGGGUUUCCCUCUGUCUGAGGUGGUGAUGGCGGCAACUCUCUCCCCCUGUCCGCCUGGCUCCACCUCUGCCUCCUCCCGCAGAGCAGCAGUGGUGGCUCCCUCCCUCCACCCCCGCCCACCCACUUCUGCCUCCUCCUGCAGAGCAGCAAUGGGGCUUUCCUCUACCUGAGGUGGCAGCGGCAGCUCCCUUCCCCCCAUCCAUCCACCCACCUCUGCCUCCUCCCAUGGAGCAGCAGGGCUUCCCUCCUCCUGAGGCAGCAGUGGUGGUGGCUCCUCCCUCCCCUCAUGUCCUCCUGUGGAGCAGCGGGGCUCCCACCUCCCUGUCUAAGGCAGCAGCAGCUCCCUUCCUGCCUGAGAAGGCGGAGUCCCUGCAACCAAUUGCUGUUGGCCCUCUGGGCACUGCAUGUGCAGUUGCCCAAUUGCAUUACGGACAGACAGACUCAGACACACACACAGACAAAGCCCUUUAUUAUAUUGGAAUCCUCAGUCAUCUGAACCUCUUUGGAAAGGGUCUGCUGAAAAGCUGUUUGUGAGAGUUGUAAAAUGGUUACAAGUUACUGUAUCAAACUUAAGAGUAAAGGUAUAGUACUGCUUUAAGAGUGUUACAUGUUAGUUAAAAAAAAUUCUUGUCAAUUGGAAAACCAAAGGUUUGGCUAACACAGAGUAUAUUGCAUCUGUGCAGGGAGCCUAACAGAGACAUUUUCUCUGCCAUUCAGGGAAUUCCAAUCCUUAUAGCAAAGCUAUUGGGGCCGUUGUGUCAGAUCUACUUUCAGAGCUAAAGUCUUGACCAUGCAAUCCCACCUCACUCACUAUCAUGUCUCAGUCUUCCACACAGGGCCUAUUUCUCCUGGCUUACACAUCCCAGUCUUAAUGAGAUUUAAUGGCCCCCCCUCCCCCUUGGGGUAAAUGUAGGAAACAAUAGGAGGCUUCAGAGCAAAACAGACACAUGUCACUGCCCAGAACAUAGGUACAUGAGUCCAUUCAGGAAUUAGAGCUAAGUGAAUGGCAGACUUCAUGGGCCAUAGUUUUCAGUUUUGGUGCAGGAUGGAAGGAAACAGAAGUAUAGCUGGAGAGAAAGGACAAGUAACAGGUGCUCAGACAUAAACCAUGGCCAGAAGAAGUUAAAAACAAGAUCAGAAAGAUCUGAGAUCAGAUGUAAAAUUAGAGCUGGGAACUUCCCAGAGAGAUAGAGUCUUUCUUGGAACAGGAACUGCAAAAGAUCUAGGAAACCCAGGUACAAACCCCCCAGUUGGGAAGAGCAAAAUGGAUCAAUGACUGCCACAGAGCAGAAGACUUCCUAAGGAAAAAGGGCAAACAAAGAAAUCUGGGCCAGCUCUAAACUUGCUGUCGGUGAUGAGCUGCAGCAAAGACUUAAAGAAAUGAGAUGUCACCUAGAGAAGAAAAUAAAAGGGUCAAAGACCACAAUGGAAGUCAGUCAGCUGAAAGUGCAACUGGGCUGGCCAAAGACUUGGUUAGAUUAGACCUCUACAACAACAAAUUUCUAUCUUGUUUGUAGGCCACAGAGACCCAGAGAGAUAAGGUUAGAUGUCCCUCUCAGUGUGAUUUCUCUGCUUCUUGGGUCCUAUUUGCUAGUCUUUUAAACUGGAUUAAAGAUAGUAACAAGUAUCCUUCCUUGGAAAAAGGAGAAGUUAGCCAAAAUGGGCAGGGCUAGUCCUGUUUGAGUUGCUGGAAUCCUACCUUGCUUCCAUAAUGACAAGACAAACUCACACAAAUGUAGGGAAGACAGAAAAGUGAAGAAAGAAAGUGUGGCUUCUGUGUCUCGUGCUGACUUCCAUUUUUAACAGUACUGCUAGAGAAGCACAAGCCCAGUGUGGUCUUAGCCACAGGAGACCUUGUAUCAGGUGUUGGUGUUUGUUUUUAAAGGUGUUGGUUUUGUGAUCAGGGACUUCUGGCACUAUCACAAAAGUUGCAGUCUUUGCUAGCUAAAUCGGAUUAUUAUUAAAGUGGAAGCAAAAGGUGAGAUUUAGGAGACAGAAGAAAUAAGGUAGAGAAGGAAAAGGCCAAUGAAAGAGCAGGAGCUCAACUUCCACCAUGCCUGCCCCAGCUUGCUGGCUCAGGUAUUGGAGGGGAGGGGGCAGGUCAGGUCUGCGUGUUGGGGGGGCUCCCUUCAGUCAACUGAACUUGACUUCAGUUCUGUUCCUUCUCGUCUUCUCCCAAGCCACUUCUGACAGCCACCAGCUGGCAGAGAUGGUGGGCUGAGGAGAGAGGCCACUCCAGCAGCCUCCUGGGAGCUGUGCGGGAGCACCCCCAUGCUGCUGGCCUUGGCCAGUGCGGGACACUUCCAUGCUGCGCCCCCUCAUCCCCAUCCCAAGAGCAAUUGUCAAUUCUGUUUGCUCCUAUACUAAUCAAGGGUGCUUUGCAUAAAGUGCUAUACCUAGAACACUUCCACCUUAGGCUUUUUGAACAUCUGUACUUAGCCUAAGUGUCUGACAAAGAUGUCUUUCUUUAUCUAGCCACACAAGAACUUAGCAACCCAAGGAUAUAAACAUUGCUAGUUAUUCCUUUGUUCAGAAGUUGUUUAAAAAAAUCCUUUUCCCAUGCUAAAUGAAAGCCAGAACUCACUGGUCAGGAUUCCUUUAUUGUUAAUCCACGGGCUAUGUAUAAACUGGGUUAAAAGUUGGAAAGGAAAUUUGAUUUGUUGACCUUAGUUUCAAGAGCUGCUUUAAAUUAGAUAGAAGCACAUAGGAAAUAUUCCUUCCAUAGCAGGAUGAGAAAAAUAUUUAGUAUAUUCUCUUUCAAAUUUAAUUUAAAUCAGUAACUGUUGUAAACUGUAUAUGUCUAGAGAGUCCAGAGAAGGGUUGAAAGGAAGAAAAUCUUUGGCUACUAACUAAAAAGCAAAUUCUGUACUUUAAUGACCAUGGCAAAUCCACAAUAAAGGUCAAAUAUUUUCAAUAGAUUUGCCUUACAAGGAAACAGAUUUCAGUUAAAUGAAAAUGACUUGGUUAGUUAUGCGGUUUUACAGUCUCCAGUGUAUUGGUGACCAGUGUUAUAGACAAUUAAAACAAACUCCUACAACUCACUGUGUGACUGCACCUAGAAUAGAAUAAUCCAAAACACACAAUGUUUUGAUCAGACGCAGAUUGCUGUGUUGAUGCUGUGAGCUGAGUUGACAUGGGCAAAGGGAUAGACAGUUCUUUUGCGAGGGACCAGUAGAACAUUAUUACCCACUCAGAGCAUGAAAGAUGUGCUUUCUGAUGUGGUGGGUGCUGUUUUUAUGCCAUCCAUUAAUUAGAAAUCUCAAUCUUAUCAUUACAAUCUAAGUUCUUUCAUAG